CCUCAAUAGCGUAAAAGUUAACUCAAAUAUGUAUGGAGUUAGAACGUUUGCCUACCUCUGCCGCUAGGGGUGCUGUUCCAACUCCAUACAAAUUUGAGUUAACUUUUACGUUAUCGA
rnacentral:pre_miRNA from 9 species